rnacentral:lncRNA from 1 species
ACCCUGGCAUAUUUGAAAAGUCCGCAUAGAUUAAAACCUCCACCAAACACAAGAUUAGAAGCCAAAGCUACUGUAAACCAAGAAAACUGGAAGGGCAAUUCUAUCAGAGGUUUGAAUGCAGAUGCAUCAUGCAUAUGUGUUUACAAAAGUUCAGAAUUGGAAAGGAAGCCAAAGAGAUGCCGCAUACCCCUGAUAUCUUUGUAGAAGUGAUUUAGCAAGCUAAAACGGCCUGAUUAAACUAGAGAGGUCGAAUCAAUGAGCAAUAUCUAGAAAAAUACAAAUAAUACAGCCAAGAAAGAAAAGAUCUGGCUUUGUCUUCUGAUCACCAAUUAAGUUCCAAGGACUACAGAGAUGCUAGGGUAUAUCGAACCUCCUUCACUUAAGAAGAGUGACCUGGUAAGACUUUUAACUCACAUGUUCCCUCGCAAAUGCUUCUGCCCCAUCAAAUGCCAGGUAUAUAUGAGGAGUUCGUUCCAUGACCAGUCGUGCCAGAGAUAUGGCGUUGACAACAGUGGUGAGCCCAGAAACAGCUCCACAUUUCAUGUUUCCAUCCAUGAUGCAAGCCUCCAUUUCAACAGUGCCACUGCUGGUUAAGACCGACCCUUUGCCUGCAUUGAAGUGAGGGUUGUUUUCCAACUCCCGGACCUGGUUAUCCCCGAACACGGCAAGUAUACGACCAAAUUCUUAGACAUGGAAUAGGCUCUCAUAUACAAACUGUAGCCAUGCAUCAUAGGUAAAAUUGAACGGGCAUAGUUCACGUUUCAAACAAGUCAAGAUUGAUGUAACCUGCAGGAAGAUGUGUUAAGACUUUCAAAACAUCAGCAGGCGUAAACCCAGCAACUUUUGGCUCACCCUCUUUGUUUCUCAUUCCAAAAUCUGUUUAAACUCCUCCUUUGUGUAUUGAUGUUUUUGAGCAUUAAUUUCUAGCAAGACCUGAAAUUCUUCUAUAGAAAAUUUCCAAUCAAGAAAGUGCAAAGUACUUCACGCUAGGAUGCUCUCACUAUAGUUCCAAGUUUACUGAAUGUUCUUGAAGAGACGCUAGAGCUCAAGAUGAAGCAAGCCAUACUUGUGUUCAGAAUACCAGAUUUAAGAUAUGUUUGCAUAACAUAAAACAAAGUGUAUUUUAUAACAUAAAACAGAGUGUAAAAGUAAAAUACAAGCAUCUUGAUCUUGUACUAGAACUAGACAACUUAAAACUGUCCAAUUUCAUGUACUAAAUCUUCUUGCCACUGGAAGAUCUAGUCUCACCUGGAGAGGGAGGGAGAGAGAGAGACUGAGUGCACACAAGGACACAUGCACAAGUUCAAAGUUCAGUAUGAUGAUAAGCUGCGGAUCGUUCAUUUGUUCGGGAUUCCUUCGCUAAGAACACCAUCAUAAACCAAAAAAACGAAAAGAGAGAGAGAGCAAGAACGGAGAAACCAGAUGGGUCAUUUGAAAUCUAGGAGCACAACUCUCCAAUCAGCUCAAAAAGAUGACUUUUCUUUCUGCUCUGUUCUUUUACCCAGAACUAAAAGAACUCGCUAUCCCACCACGAAACACGUAAUAAGAUCGAUGCUUAUAGCGCAAAUCAAUUACCACGAGCUCGACGACGUCCAGGGGAGACUUCUUGGACUUGAGAGCGUCGACGCCGAGCUGGAGGCAGUGGCGGAGGCAGGCCUCCCUCGGGAGGCGGCGCUCCGGCGGCAGGGUCAGCGGGAUGUCCCCUGCUCCGCCGUGCAGCGCUAUCGCCCACCCCAUUCGCCACCACCAACCACCACCACCACCACACCUCUCCCUCGAUCUCUCUGCAACGCCCGUGCGUGCGCGUCUGUCCACGACCGAGGCCCAACGAGUCACGAUCGGCAACUACCUUAAAUAUUACUCGUUCACACUACCGAACAAAAGUAAAAAAACGAACGAGAACAUUAUCGACAUAUAAAAGAAAAGUUUGAACGGGAUUUUGCCCUCGACAUGAUUGGUUGGUGGCUCUUUUUUUUUUCUUUUUUUUUGUCAGUCCUACUCUAUACCCAUUCUAUACUCACUCUCAAACUUUUGUCCUGCCACUUGCAGGGCGUGGGAGUCGAAACCCACUCCUGAAACUUACUCGUUCACACCCCUAUCCCCCUCAGAAUGUGGAGAUUUGAACCCAUCACCUCCCCCUUUCAUGUUGGAAGGGUGGCCACUGAGGCGAAUCCCAAUAGUUAAUUGUGGCUCUUGUUCGAAUGACCAUUUUGUCGCAAAGCAUGGGGAAACAGUCUGUGACAUUACGACCCCUAAUUGCAAUUGAGAAUAAAGGUAGGAUUGCAUUACAUCUUGUAAAAAUUUCAUUAAAGAGCAAUGGUCCAUUUGUUCCAUGCGAAAAUAUUUUUUUUUCAUUUUCUGAUAUUUAGAUUGCUUAGAAAAAUGAAUGAGUCAACGAAAAUGUUUACUUCAUCAAAUUUAAGUUCGGGAAAAUAAUUUCCUUUUUAAAGAAAAUUAAAAAUUCAUUUUUCAAAAUAUGAUUAGAUAUUGAUGUUUGAACCAGAAACUCUGUUCUUUGGUAUAGUAACCCCAACACUUGUUCCCGAGCCUUUGGCGAUGAGGUCGAAUUCUUUACGUAUUGGUACAAGUGUAAUGGGUUUAAAGCUAAAUUGGCCUAAUUAAAAGGUUUAAGACUAAAGUGACGUAAGUAUAAUAGAUUUUGAACUUUUUUUGUAAUUAUUCUAAUUGAAAGUAAUAAGCCUAGAUUGGGAAAAAGACAAUCUCUCUUUUUGGCAAGAAUGAAAACACUUUCCUUAAAUUCACCAAACAAAUAAAAACGGAUAUUUUUUUACUUAAAAAUAAUUUUCAUGGAAAUUAUCAGCUUUUAUCAUGAAAUUUUUAGUAAAACAAAUGCAGCAACUUUUUUUGCACGUCAAUUAAUUUUUCGUAUGAUAAAUACCGAAAAGUCGGAAAAUAAUUAUCCGAAAAUAGUUAACGAACCCUAAGUAUCAAAGAUUUAUUUGUUUAAGAUUGCAUUUGCAUUAUACUGUCCUUAUAUGGACUCACGUAUCAUUUGAAUUUUCAAGGGAUGAUUUUAUUUUUUAAUUUUAGGUCUUGUUUACUCACGACGACUAAAAACGAUGAAGGACUGCGCCAUUUAUUCAUGGUAUUUGGUAACUUAAAUUAAAAGGCAAAGCGAAUCAAAAUCCCGUAUGGGUUAAAGCAGACUAGUCUUUGCCAGUUUCUCCUUUGGAUCUGUUCCAUGCUUGAAUUUUUGUAAAAAAGAAAUACAGAGAUUGCCAGGUGAGAAGAACGUAUUAUUUUAAGUUAUCAUGAUCGCGAGCCAAAAUUCAUUUUCCAAGAAAGCUAGACCGCCCAAACAAUAAAAAAUAGACAACGAUAACGUUUUUCAAUAUUUGCGCAAUUGAUCCAACGUUCUGAAUUUUCGGUUUGGAAGCCGAAAUUCAUCUAUUCAAAUCUCACCAAUAAUGUGUAAGUGCUUCAAGAGGACAUAUACAUAGAUGAAAGGUUUAGAGUUAACCAACUGAUGGGAUUUGUGGAGGUGUUUAAUAAGAUUCUGGUGCCAUCAUUGUAAUUAUUCUAAAAUUUUAAGUUGUUAAAUGAAUGUAUUGUUUAUUAUUGAAAUAUUCUAACACUCCCCCUUGUACUUAAUAAGGCUCGAAAAGAAUCGAACUCAAUACCUACAGCAUUGAUAUCAUAUGAGAUUUUAGUGAAAUCAUUGUCAAUUAUUUUAAAAACUUAAAUAAUUAGAUGAAAAUGUAUCUCAUUAUUUAAAUAUUCUAAUAGUUUGAUAAGAUUUUAGGAAGUGCGAUGUCCAUGUCCGUACUAGGGGUGUGCAUGGUUCGGGCGGGCGGUUUCCAACCUAGAACCGGGAACCGCCCGCUAAGGACCGGUUCCGAAAAAUUGAAACUGAGAUCCACCUGUUUGUUGCAUGGAUCCAUCCACCCAGGAACCAGACCGCCAAUCCAGUCCGAUUCCCGGGUGGAUCCAUGGAACCGAUCUCGACGGGAAACAAUUUUGGUUUUCAACAUAGAACGGUCGGGUCAAUGAGUUGGGAAGGAGGGGAGGAGGUCUAUGGUCGGGUUUUCAACAUAGAACGGUCACAAAACAAUUUUUCGCGGCUGUGGCGAGUGGCGGCCGACGCGAGGGGGCGAACAGCAGUGGCGGAGGAGCAGCAACGGCAAUGUUGACGCUCGGGGAGGAAUCGAAAUGGUGAUAAGAUUAGGAGGAACCGAGGAAGAGACAAAGAGAGAGAGAACCGAAGACGAAGGGAGUGAGGAGAUGAGAUCGAAUCUAGGAUUUCUUUUAGUAAUUUUUUUUUUAAUAUUAAAAGGUUUCGGUCUGGUCCGGGUGGGCGGAUCCACCCAUGGAACCAGGAACCAGACCGGUACCCACCGGUUCCCUCAAGAACCGCCGGUUCCGAGUGGUUUCCGGGUAUUUUGCACACCCCUAGUCUGUACCCUAAUAUAUUAAGAAGCGAUUCAUGAUUAAACUUUUUCUAAUGUGCUUCUAGAAUGGCAUAAACAAAGGCUUUGCUUUGCCACGCACGCAUGUGCAACUUGAGGACUCUUUGUUUAAGUCUUUAUGGAUGAAAGAGCUCAUUUACUAACCUUUUUUUUCAUGUCCUUUUUCUCUUGUUCCGAUUCGAUUGGGAACAGAUUCCAAUCAGAUAGUUAGGUGAGAGAGGGUUUUUUUUUUUCGCCUUAAUGAGUUGUUAACUACAAUGUUCAUCAGCCCGCUAAGGCCGAAGGACCCAAGAACGAGCUCAUGAUACGAUGCGAGAGAUAAUGUUUUGAAAUCAUAUCGACAGGCAAUGACCACAUCGGACGAGCAGGCUAUUCUCGGUUCAACUCGUUUCGACCAAUUGAACUGGCCUACUCAUGUCACUAAGAACACAAAAUUGUUAAUAUAUGGUCAAAUGCAACCGGUUGGUAUGUCCUUUAAUCAAACCGAGGGAAAAUUCCAAAUAAUUGAAGUGUUCAUCAUUUAUAUAUACAUAUAAAGGCUCAAAAUGGACCUUAUUUUAAAUAAAAAUCUAACAUAUUUUCAUAUUUUCUAAUAAAGCUCUAAAGUAGAUCUUGUUUUAAAUAAGAAUCCGGUCAUAUCAGUUUAAAAAAAAACCUAAGUUUCUAACUGAUGAAGCGCAUUUUCAUCAUUUAUCUUCUUUAAAUUUUUCCCAUUCUUUUUUUCCUUUUUUCUUUCUUUUUCUUUCCCUUAGUUUUUUUUCAUUUUCUCUUCGCUAAUGUCUAAUCUCAAGCAAUAGCUCAAGAGGACUAAGCGAGGAUUGCCCUCACCAAACACUUGUCCAUUUGGGGAGGGCCAACCUCGUCGACCACAAGCGAGGGAUGGCCUCACCCAAGGCAAGGGUUACUGGCCCUGGCCCUCACUAUGCCAAAUCUAGGGAGGCAACACUUGAAAUACACAAGCAAGGGCCACCCUCACUUGCCACAAGCAAGGUUGACCCUUGCCAAAUCUAGGCAAGGGGACCUCGGCCAGAUCAAGCAAGGGGACACAUCCAAUGAGGGUUGUCCCUUUGCCAGAAAAUAAAAAAAUUAAAAUUACCUGUGGAUGAAAACACCUUAAUCAAUUGAAAUGUUUAGCCAACCAGUGACCACCAAAGCCAAUCUCUUAUUUGAAAUUGUAAUGGCCAUUGCAAGCCUUUAUUUGAGACUAGCAUGGCCACUUUAUACUCUUAUUUAAUACAAGGUCAAUUUCAAGCCUUUAUCUAAUAAAAUAAGAGCACUCCAAAUCUUUAUUUGGAAUUUUCCCUCAAACCAAGAUGUCUUGAUACACUUCAAGAUCACGUGUUCAAUUCCACCCUUCCAGCAGGACAGUCCAACCUAGGGAUUGAACCGUCACCUCAUACACCAUUUGUUAAAUUUAACACCAUGAUGCGGUCGAACAUGCCACCUCUUCGACCGGUUGACCCCGGUUCAACACCCGUUUUUGACCGGCUCAACCUCCUGAUGAUUCACAUAGGAGCAACGGGACCCAGUCGAACUGGUAAUAGAACAAGGUUUCAAGACGGAAUGGAAAAGUUACUGGUUGUGUUGCGAUGCUUUUCUGGUCUGUGGGGGCCUCUUUUCCGACGGUUCAUAUUGGAGAAACGAUUGACCAACAUUGGUUUUCCGAUAGUUUUGCUGGCAUUAUACUCGCUUUUCCUGCAUAUUGAAGCUGAACUUUUAUAACUGCUGUCAAAGUUUUCUGUGACGGGAGAUGCAUGAUACGUGCGGAUGAUUUCGUAACUACAGAUUAUUGGUGGAAACUUCUUGAAGUUGUUGGAUGAUCACGUUUAUGCAAUACGACUGCUUUCAUAGGUUGUUUACGAAUCAUCUUUUUCGAAUCAUGACAGUCUUUCAUCUCCUCUGGACAACGUAGGGUGAACCAAUUACGGAUGACCGUAGGCUGCUGCUUGCUCAGUGUCGCGAUCUCGGUGGUUCUCUUGACAGACUGACUUUAAGCAAAGCUUUUUUUUUUCCUUUUUUUCCACCAAACAAGGAUCAAACUUCAUGCAAGUAAAAGUAAUACAGUGAUAGAAACCUUAGCAAGGCGACAGCAAAAGAUCAAGUUGCUGAUAGAUCUGCGAAGGUACAUAAACUAAGUAACUACAAAAGGAAACGAGGAUUUUAAGGACAAGGAAUAGGCCAUCCCGACAGCCACCGCAAUGGCAGUAAAUGUCCUAGUCCUAGAUACGACACUCGAACAUGGACAACUUACGGGAAUUGGACAAUCUUUAGAGCACGGUUCUUUACAAGUAAUGUAAAUAGAAGGAGCAUUUGAUCGAUGGUGAAGACAUGAUAUUGCCCCAAACAUCUGAACCAUUUCAAUCUUUUGUCAAAGGCCAUAUUGCAAUUUCCGAGUACCCAUCCUCGGUAGCACAUGCUCGGAACAUCCCGGUCGUAUUAAAGGGCAUAGUGACUUCUCCCGUCGCAGAAACUGCGACGAGGCCAACAUUGCCCUUCGGAACCCUCUCUUUCACCACGCAGGCAGCUGCUUCUUCCAGGGAGAGUCCUUUGAACUCCAUAAGAGCGGCCACAUCCCUUGCGACAGUUCCACGUAUUAUAGCCUCACCUUUGCCCGUAGCAGAUACUGCACAUAAACUGUUGGCAUACGUCCCUGCCCCUAUGAGGGGCGUGUCUCCUAUCCUUCCAACCAUCUUGUUGACUAACCCUCCAGUAGAAGUUGCCGCAGCUAAAUUCCCAUCACUAUCUACAGCGACGCAUCCCACAGUACCAGUUUGGCUGUCGCCAUCAGCAGUGGCAGUGUCUUCCUCUUUCUUUUGCAUGGGUUGCGUAUAAUCAAUCUGCAGUUAUAUGACAGAAAUGUGAGCACAGAAUCAAAUUCCAACUAGGGUUAUCUAGUGAUUCUUGAACCCAAACAAGCAAGAAAAAAACAAGUUCUUCGUGGCCCAGCCGAGAACAUUCAUGGUGUCACAUGCCUCACGCCAUUCCGCAUAUGUCUGGCUUCGUGAUAUUCUGGCGUUAAAGGAUCUGAUACUUUAGCCACCACAAAAUGUAAGUGGAGGAAGUCACAAACGGGAAGUAAACUCUUUUGCGCAUGUCUCUGAACUUAGUGGUUCUUGAGAAUUUGCACUAACCUAAACUUUGGCUGAUCAUCGGGAAGCAAUAGAAAAUAAGGCAUUUAUAAAGGAUUCAAGAUGUGAAAUCCAAUUUGCAGUCACAGAAAUUCAAAUGAGCGAAAUACCUGCACUCUGUUUGCUUCUUUGGCCUGUUUUAGCCUUUGAAUGUUCUCUGGAGUGAUAAAAUGAGAUGCAUCAAGAGUUUCUACACCCUGGCAUAUUUGAAAAGUCCGCAUAGAUUAAAACCUCCACCAAACACAAGAUUAGAAGCCAAAGCUACUGUAAACCAAGAAAACUGGAAGGGCAAUUCUAUCAGAGGUUUGAAUGCAGAUGCAUCAUGCAUAUGUGUUUACAAAAGUUCAGAAUUGGAAAGGAAGCCAAAGAGAUGCCGCAUACCCCUGAUAUCUUUGUAGAAGUGAUUUAGCAAGCUAAAACGACCUGAUUAAACUAGAGAGGUCGAAUCAAUGAGCAAUAUCUAGAAAAAUACAAAUAAUACAGCCAAGAAAGAAAAGAUCUGGCUUUGUCUUCUGAUCACCAAUUAAGUUCCAAGGACUACAGAGAUGCUAGGGUAUAUCGAACCUCCUUCACUUAAGAAGAGUGACCUGGUAAGACUUUUAACUCACAUGUUCCCUCGCAAAUGCUUCUGCCCCAUCAAAUGCCAGGUAUAUAUGAGGAGUUCGUUCCAUGACCAGUCGUGCCAGAGAUAUGGCGUUGACAACAGUGGUGAGCCCAGAAACAGCUCCACAUUUCAUGUUUCCAUCCAUGAUGCAAGCCUCCAUUUCAACAGUGCCACUGCUGGUUAAGACCGACC